UGCCCCUCACGGCCCCACCCCUCACGGCCCAGCCCCACACUGCCCUGCCCCGCUCGGCACGGCCCCACACGGCACUGCCCGGCUGUGAAAUGACCGGCGAAGGCAUCGCGGCCACCCCGAGACCCAACAGCGCCGUGCCAGCUCCGGCUCCGACUGCCGCCGCCCGCCUUUCCUUAAAUAGCUCCGAGGACAGAGGCGCCGCCGCCAGGACAAAAUCCCAGAGCCAGCUUCUACAAGUGGAUGAAGUGCUGCAAAUCUGGCCAGGGCGUGAGAGGAGACUCAACCCAACAAAAAACGUGGGGUGUUUCACAUAUUUGAGCCUCUUAUGGACCUUAAGAAAGAAAAAGAACAGAGUUUAAGGAGGAAGAACCGUGCAGGCCGUGCACUCCUCGGCAGAGCUCCCGUGCCAGCGACAGGUGCCUCUAAAGAGUGCAAGCUCGGUGCUGGUACACCUGAGUCACACCCCUCACGAGACAUACAAAAGAAACCUCUAGAACAAAAGCAGGAGGAGGGGAAGAGGGGGCCGCCGAGCUCCCCGUCACUGAUUGCCACCAGUGGGUAACUUCUAAGCUAAAACCAAGAGGAUCCUGCCUUUUCAACUCUUUCCGCGAUAGACUCAAUGUCUUCCUUGUAACUGUGGAGAGCCGAGAAAGCUUCUAAUUUCACAGUUAAAUAGCACAAAGACCAUUAA